rnacentral:rRNA from 1 species
CCUACGGGGGGCUGCAGUGGGGAAUAUUGCACAAUGGGGGAAACCCUGAUGCAGCGACGCCGCGUGAGUGAAGAAGUCUUUCGGUACGUAAAGCUCUAUCAGCAGGGAAGAAAAUGACGGUACCUGACUAAGAAGCCCCGGCUAACUACGUGCCAGCAGCCGCGGUAAUACGUAGGGGGCAAGCGUUAUCCGGAUUUACUGGGUGUAAAGGGAGCGUAGACGGCAGCGAAAGUCGGGAGUGAAAUCCCAUGGCUUAACCAUGGAACUGCAUUGGAAAAUGUGCAGCUAGAGUGCAGGAGAGGUAAGCGGAAUUCCUAGUGUAGCGGUGAAAUGCGUAGAUAUUAGGAGGAACACCAGUGGCGAAGGCGGCUUACUGGACUGUAACUGACGUUGAGGCUCGAAAGCGUGGGGAGCAAACAGGAUUAGAUACCCUGGUAGUC